rnacentral:lncRNA from 1 species
UUAGAACCAAUCAACCAUGAGCAAAAAUUCAUGUAGGAAAUCAAAUCUACUGAAAAGUUCGGCAAAAUUCGUAGUUUAAGCAUUCAAAAUAAAGUGCAAAUGAACAAAUUAUUCAAAACAAGGAAAAACAUCAAAGAGGCUAAAUAAAAAAGAACAAACGGGCGUUCAAUUUGAAUAAAAUCACUAGAACAAACAUAAUACUGCAUCUGGAGUAUUUAGAUGGAGGAAAAACCUUUCUUGCUGAAUAUUUAGGUUGUGAGAUUGGUUCGAAUCAACAAGGAUCUCAGAUCGGACAAAUUGGACGUUGAACGGAACCUCAUCGGCGACCUCGUCGGAACCUCGAACCUCCGCCAAAAUAAAACUUAACGACGAUCUCACAAACUUGAAUGAUGAAAGGAAGCUGGUGCAGUAAACGAUAUUUGCAAACGAGAUACAAAGCAGGGCUCAUUCUGAUCGAAGAAGAAAAGAGAUCGUGAGGGAGGGAACUCUGGUAAAAGCUAUCUUCUCUGUGUAUAUGUGUGUGUAUUGUAUGUAUAGGUGUGUGUUUUUGUUAAGAAGCAGCCGCCUGCUGCGCAGCCCCUUUCUCCCAGCGUCUCUAUGUGUGUCUCUCUGUAGUGUAUUCUCCUCAAGAAGCUCAGCUCCCUUCUCAUGUAUAUGUGUUUUGUUUUCCCCCUCUUCUCUAUCGUGUGUAUAUGCUUCUAUAUGGUAAUGUGUAUUGCGUGUGUUUG